UAAUAAGUGUUUUAUGGCACUUUUUAAAUCCAUAUCCACCUUGUGUGCAAUGUCAGUCGAUCUUCUUCAUGGAGAUCGACCAAACAUCAACCUUUAUCUUUUAACUCCUUUGUCUGAAAAAUAUUAUGAAUAAACAAUUCAAAAUA
rnacentral:misc_RNA from 1 species